rnacentral:rRNA from 1 species
UACGGGGGGGAGCAAGCGUUGUUCGGAUUUACUGGGCGUAAAGGGCGCGUAGGCGGUCAGCACAAGUCAGUUGUGAAAUCUCCGGGCUUAACUCGGAAAGGUCAACUGAUACUGUGCGACUAGAGUGCGGAAGGGGCAACUGGAAUUCUCGGUGUAGCGGUGAAAUGCGUAGAUAUCGAGAGGAACACCCGUGGCGAAAGCGGCUCUCUGGGACGGUACUGACGCUGAGACGCGAAAGCGUGGGGAGCGAACAGG